rnacentral:rRNA from 1 species
CAUGCAAGUCGAACGAAGGCUUCGGCCUUAGUGGCGCACGGGUGCGUAACGCGUGGGAAUCUGCCCUUGGGUUCGGAAUAACAGUGAGAAAUUACUGCUAAUACCGGAUGAUGUCGAAAGACCAAAGAUUUAUCGCCCGAGGAUGAGCCCGCGUAGGAUUAGCUAGUUGGUGAGGUAAGAGCUCACCAAGGCGACGAUCCUUAGCUGGUCUGAGAGGAUGAUCAGCCACACUGGGACUGAGACACGGCCCAGACUCCUACGGGAGGCAGCAGUGGGGAAUAUUGGACAAUGGGCGAAAGCCUGAUCCAGCAAUGCCGCGUGAGUGAUGAAGGCCUUAGGGUUGUAAAGCUCUUUUACCCGGGAUGAUAAUGACAGUACCGGGAGAAUAAGCCCCGGCUAACUCCGUGCCAGCAGCCGCGGUAAUACGGAGGGGGCUAGCGUUAUUCGGAAUUACUGGGCGUAAAGCGCACGUAGGCGGCUUUGUAAGUCAGAGGUGAAAGCCUGGAGCUCAACUCCAGAACUGCCUUUGAGACUGCAUCGCUUGAAUCCAGGAGAGGUGAGUGGAAUUCCGAGUGUAGAGGUGAAAUUCGUAGAUAUUCGGAAGAACACCAGUGGCGAAGGCGGCUCACUGGACUGGUAUUGACGCUGA